rnacentral:rRNA from 1 species
AACGAACGCUGACGGUGUGCCUCAUACAUGCAAGUCGAGCGGGCGUAGCAAUACGUCAGCGGCGGACGGGUGAGUAACACGUGAACAAUCUGCCCUCGAAUUUGGGAUAACAGCUCCAACGAGCUGCUAAUACCGGAUAGGUUAAUCUGAUCUCCUGGUUGGAUUAAGAAAGUUGCAAUUGCAACGUUCGAGGAUGAGUUCGCGGCCCAUUAGCUAGUUGGCGGGGUAAAGGCCCACCAAGGCAACGAUGGGUAGCCGGCCUGAGAGGGUGAUCGGCCACAUUGGGACUGAGAUACGGCCCAGACUCCUACGGGAGGCAGCAGUAGGGAAUUUUGCGCAAUGGACGAAAGUCUGACGCAGCAACACCGUGUGAGGGAUGAAGCAUUUCGGUGUGUAAACCUCUGUCGAUGAUGAAUAAAGCGUGCGGGAGUGGAAAGCCCGUGCGUUGAAGCUAGUCAUGAAGGAAGCACCGGCUAACUCUGUGCCAGCAGCCGCGGUAAUACAGGGGGUGCAAGCGUUGUUCGGAAUCACUGGGCGUAAAGGGAGCGUAGGCGGAACUGCAAGACAGAGGUCAAAUCUCCGGCCUCAACCUGGAACUUGCCUUUGUGACUGCGGUUCUUGAGUAUGGUAGAGGUUGGCGGAAUUUCCGGUGUAGCGGUGGAAUGCGUAGAGAUCGGAAAGAACACCAGAGGCGAAGGCGGCCAACUGGACCAAUACUGACGCUGAGGCUCGAAAGCGUGGGGAGCAAACAGGAUUAGAUACCCUGGUAGUCCACGCUGUAAACGAUGAACACUAGAUGUCGGGAGGGGUUCCUUCCGGUGUCGUCGCUAACGCAGUAAGUGUUCCGCCUGGGGAGUACGCUCGCAAGGGUG